rnacentral:lncRNA from 1 species
AGGAAACUUCAUACUGAUUUCCAUAGCAGCUGUAAAUUUAACAUUUUACAUUCCACCAGGAGAACUAAUUUCUCCACAUCUUGUCAAAAAAUGAUUUUCUUUCUUUCCUUCCUUCCUUUCUUCUUUCCUUCAUCCCUCUCCUUCCCUCCUUCCCUUUCUGCAUGCUUGCUUCUUUUUUUUUUAAUGGACAUCUAAACAGCACACAUUUGGAAAUAUUGGAUCAGCAUUGCAGCUAUACCAUUUAAACAGGACACACACGUUCCAGUUCUCCUUGACAGAGAGGCUGAAGAAUAUUGCUGGAGCUCCAGUCAUCAUUUCUGAAUGCCAAGAAACAGAAAUGGGGAAAAGCUUGACUACAAAAGGAUCCUCUUAUCAGCUAAGCCAGCUUACUUUCCACAGAUGUUUUGGAAAUCUUUCACAACACUUUUAUUUUUGUCUCAGUGACC